rnacentral:rRNA from 1 species
GAUGAACGCUGGCGGCAUGCCUAACACAUGCAAGUCGAUCGGUAAGGCUCUUCGGAGUCCACGCGAGGCGGACGGCUGAGUAACGCGUAGGAACACACCCUGCAGUGAGGGAUAAGACACCGAAAGGUGUUCUAAUACCGCAUACGGUCUUCGGAUUAAAGCAUUUAUGCGCUGAAGGAGUGGCCUGCGUCAUAUUAGAUAGUUGGUGAGGUAAUGGCUCACCAAGUCGAUGAUGUGUAGCUGGUCCGAGAGGAUGAUCAGCCAGACUGGAACUGAGACACGGUCCAGACUCCUACGGGAGGCAGCAGUGAGGAAUAUUUCACAAUGAGCGAAAGCGUGAUGGAGCAAUGCCGCGUGCAGGAUGAAGGCCCUCGGGUUGUAAACUGCUUUUAUAAGAGAAGAUUAUGACGGUAACUGAUGAAUAAGGGACGGCUAACUACGUG